rnacentral:rRNA from 1 species
CUGCUUUAGGAUCUGAUGUCUCGGGUAUCGCAUAAGAACGCAACGCAUUGAGAUGCGAAAUGUGAAUUGCAGAUUUCCAGUGAAUCAUCGAAUCUUUGAACGCACCUUGCGCUCCUUGGUAUUCCGAGGAGCAUGCCUGUUUGAGUGUCAUU